rnacentral:misc_RNA from 1 species
AGAUGAAGAACGCAGCGAAAUGCGAUAAGUAAUGUGAAUUGCAGAAUUCAGUGAAUCAUCGAAUCUUUGAACGCACCUUGCACCCUUUGGUAUUCCGAAGGGUAUGCUCGUUUGAGUGUCAUUGUACUCUCACACUUCUAAUUCCUUUCGGGAUUGGGAGCGGUGGACUUGGGUGUUGCUGCUUUAGUUGUGGCUCACCUCAAAUAAGUUAGUGCAACUCUUGGUUGGACAUAGUACGUCGUGAUAAGUGUCUUCGCCGGCGCCUCUGUAAGGAGGGUGGCCGAUCGGGAGCUCUGUGCUUCAAACCGUCUUCGGACAAUCUUUGACAACUUGACCUCAAAUCGAGUAGGACUACCCGCUGAACUUAAGCAUAUCAAUAAGCGGAGGA